rnacentral:rRNA from 1 species
UACGGAGGUUUCAAGCGUUGUCCGGAUUCAUUGGGCGUAAAGGGCGCGUAGGCGGCGCGGUAAGUCGGGGGUGAAAUCUUGCGGCUUAACCGCAGGGCUGCCUUCUAAACUGUCGAGCUUGAGCACGGUAGAGGCAGAUGGAAUUCCCGGUGUAGCGGUGGAAUGCGUAGAGAUCGGGAAGAACAUCAGUGGCGAAGGCGGUCUGCUGGGCCGUUGCUGACGCUGAGGCACGAAAGCGUGGGGAGCAAACAGG